rnacentral:rRNA from 1 species
AGAGUUUGAUCCUGGCUCAGGAUGAACGCUAGCGACAGGCUUAACACAUGCAAGUCGAGGGGCAGCGGUGGUGAAGGCUUGCCUUUACCAGCCGGCGACCGGCGCACGGGUGAGUAACACGUAUGCAACCUGCCUGCCACAGCCGGAUAAUCGGGAGAAAUUCCGUCUAAUACGGCAUAAUGCAUCGACGGGACAUCCUGUUGGUGCCAAAGGUUGAUUCCGGUGGCGGAUGGGCAUGCGUCGCAUUAGUUAGUUGGCGGUGUAACGGACCACCAAGACGACGAUGCGUAGGGGUUCUGAGAGGAAGGUCCCCCACACUGGUACUGAGACACGGACCAGACUCCUACGGGAGGCAGCAGUGAGGAAUAUUGGUCAAUGGGCGGGAGCCUGAACCAGCCAAGUCGCGUGAGGGAUGACGGCCCUAUGGGUUGUAAACCUCUUUUGCCGGGGAGCAAAGUGCCGCACGUGUGCGGUUUGGAGAGUACCCGGAGAAAAAGCAUCGGCUAACUCCGUGCCAGCAGCCGCGGUAAUACGGAGGAUGCGAGCGUUAUCCGGAUUUAUUGGGUUUAAAGGGUGCGUAGGCGGACGCUUAAGUCAGCGGUAAAAUUGCGGGGCUCAACCUCGUCGAGCCGUUGAAACUGGGUGCCUUGAGUGGGCGAGAAGUACGCGGAAUGCGCGGUGUAGCGGUGAAAUGCAUAGAUAUCGCGCAGAACUCCGAUUGCGAAGGCAGCGUACCGGCGCCAGACUGACGCUGAGGCACGAAAGCGUGGGGAUCGAACAGGAUUAGAUACCCUGGUAGUCCACGCAGUAAACGAUGAAUGCUGGUUGUCCGGGUCGAAUGAGACCUGGGCGGCGAAGCGAAAGCGAUAAGCAUUCCACCUGGGGAGUACGCCGGCAACGGUGAAACUCAAAGGAAUUGACGGGGGCCCGCACAAGCGGAGGAACAUGUGGUUUAAUUCGAUGAUACGCGAGGAACCUUACCCGGGCUCAAACGGGAGUGGAAUGGACCAGAGACGGUUCAGCCUACGGGCCGCUUCCGAGGUGCUGCAUGGUUGUCGUCAGCUCGUGCCGUGAGGUGUCGGCUUAAGUGCCAUAACGAGCGCAACCCCCGCCGGCAGUUGCUAACGGGCAAUGCCGAGGACUCUGCCGGGACUGCCGCCGCAAGGCGUGAGGAAGGCGGGGAUGACGUCAAAUCAGCACGGCCCUUACGUCCGGGGCGACACACGUGUUACAAUGGGCGGUACAGCGGGAAGCCAGGCGGCGACGCCGAGCGGAACCCGAAAGCCGUUCUCAGUUCGGAUCGGAGUCUGCGACUCGACUCCGUGAAGCUGGAUUCGCUAGUAAUCGCGCAUCAGCCAUGGCGCGGUGAAUACGUUCCCGGGCCUUGCACACACCGCCCGUCAAG